GAACCCUCCGUCAUUUGCCCGUUGCAGAAAGUUGGAGGCUUGCAACCAUGGAAGCUGCCAAAGAAGAUGACCCUGUUUUUCUCGACCGUGCUUCUCGAGGAACAAGAGGCAGAAGAAUGUAAAGCUGGGAUUUGUAUUUGAUGCAUCACAAGUAUUUGACCAAGUUGCUUGAUGAGGAGAUUGAAGAGGAUGAAGUUUUCUGGAAUCAGGAUGCUCUUAAGGACUAAGGAGGAAGAAAACGAUGAAAAUUAUGAAGAAGAAGCAGAGGUUGCCGAUGUUUUUGACAGUGACUUUGAUUCUCGGAUGAACCUGAAGCAGAUGAAGAAGUAGAAAACAAGCCAGAUGUUAGGGAGCGGGCAAAGAAGAAACUAACAUUUCCUGGAAAGGUGUGGGCAAAGAAGAAAAAGAAAAAAAAAGGUCCUCUCAAAACUAGGAAAGGUUCCCCAGCA